rnacentral:misc_RNA from 1 species
AAUUCUCAACUAUACAAGUUUUUCGAAGCGUGUAUGGCUUGGAUCUUGGGGUUUGCGGGCUUUAUAAGUCGGCUAUCCUUAAACGCAUUAGCAAAGCUUUUGUUGCUAACCUCUGGUGUGAUAAUUAUCUACGCCAUUGCGAGGUGACGUCUUGAGGCUUAGCUUCUAAUCGUCCUGACAGACAAUAUUUGACA